GCAGUCGAACGGUGAAGAGAGAGCUUGCUUUCUUGGAUCAGUGGCGAACGGGUGAGUAACACGUGAGUAACCUGCCCCAGACUCUGGGAUAAGCACUGGAAACGGUGUCUAAUACCGGAUACGAGCUUCAGCCGCAUGGCUAGGAGUUGGAAAGAAUUUCGGUCUGGGAUGGACUCGCGGCCUAUCAGCUAGUUGGUGAGGUAAUGGCUCACCAAGGCGACGACGGGUAGCCGGCCUGAGAGGGUGACCGGCCACACUGGGACUGAGACACGGCCCAGACUCCUACGGGAGGCAGCAGUGGGGAAUAUUGCACAAUGGGCGCAAGCCUGAUGCAGCAACGCCGCGUGAGGGACGACGGCCUUCGGGUUGUAAACCUCUUUUAGUAGGGAAGAAGCGAAAGUGACGGUACCUGCAGAAAAAGCACCGGCUAACUACGUGCCAGCAGCCGCGGUAAUACGUAGGGUGCAAGCGUUAUCCGGAAUUAUUGGGCGUAAAGAGCUCGUAGGCGGUUUGUCGCGUCUGCUGUGAAAACUGGAGGCUCAACCUCCAGCCUGCAGUGGGUACGGGCAGACUAGAGUGCGGUAGGGGAGAUUGGAAUUCCUGGUGUAGCGGUGGAAUGCGCAGAUAUCAGGAGGAACACCGAUGGCGAAGGCAGAUCUCUGGGCCGUAACUGACGCUGAGGAGCGAAAGCAUGGGGAGCGAACAGGAU
rnacentral:rRNA from 1 species